CGCUCGUAUGCGACUGGGCGGGCGGCCUCGAAGUCUUUUCGUGCUUCCCAUUUUCUCGUGGUGUGGCACGUCCACCGUGAUCCACUGACGUUUCCGCUGUGCCAUCGCAUGGCCGACGUGUGCAUUCCGAGGCUCGCGUGGUACUCGCUGUGUCACGAGCUGUGUCGCCGUUGAAGAAAGCCAUCUCGCCGCACCGACAUCCGCAUCGGCGCACCUAAUCACACCGUGUAACGAUCUCCCGAAAAAGAGAAACCCGUCGUUCCCGGCUUGAUCGACGCGCGGGCCACAUUGCCUGCUCGUCACCGUUGUCGUCGUCGUCUUCAUCUUCAUCAUCGUCAUCGUCCACCAACGGGCGAACUAGAGUGCGCGCGACAGCGAUAAAUCCCCAGCAUUGGGCACGUUGUAACGCCGCGACCACGCGUCCUCACGCACACCAGCAGCGAUGUCGAACGAGGAGACCUCCGCCGACCGCAAUGUCGAGAUCUGGAAGAUCAAAAAGCUCAUAAAGAGCCUCGAGAUGGCCAGGGGGAAUGGUACAAGUAUGAUUUCAUUAAUCAUACCUCCAAAGGACCAAAUAUCAAGAGUAAGCAAGAUGCUGGCGGAUGAAUUUGGCACAGCAUCGAAUAUUAAGUCACGUGUAAAUAGAUUAUCUGUUUUGGGUGCAAUCACAUCGGUACAGCAUAGGCUAAAGCUAUAUACUAAAGUGCCUCCAAAUGGCCUGGUAAUUUAUUGUGGAACUAUUGUAACGGAAGAAGGAAAAGAAAAGAAAGUCAACAUCGAUUUUGAACCUUUCAAGCCUAUUAAUACUUCUUUAUAUCUUUGUGAUAAUAAGUUUCAUACAGAAGCACUCACAGCAUUACUUGCUGAUGAUAACAAAUUUGGUUUUAUUGUUAUGGAUGGUAAUGGAGCGUUGUUUGGCACGCUACAAGGCAAUACACGUGAAGUAUUACAUAAAUUCACCGUGGACCUUCCCAAGAAGCAUGGCAGAGGAGGUCAGUCUGCGUUGCGUUUUGCCCGAUUACGUAUGGAAAAGCGGCAUAAUUAUGUUCGAAAAGUAGCUGAAGUUGCUACUCAAUUAUAUAUCACUAACGAUAAACCUAAUAUCGCUGGAUUGAUUCUCGCGGGUAGUGCCGACUUCAAGACGGAACUUAGUCAAUCUGAUAUGUUUGAUCCAAGAUUGCAAGCUAAGGUUAUAAAACUGGUUGAUGUAUCAUAUGGUGGCGAAAAUGGUUUUAACCAAGCCAUUGAGUUAGCAGCCGAAUCUUUGCAAAAUGUGAAGUUUAUCCAAGAGAAAAAAUUGAUUGGUCGUUAUUUUGAUGAAAUUUCUCAAGAAACUGGAAAGUACUGUUUUGGCGUAGAAGAUACAUUGAGAGCCUUAGAAUUAGGUAGUGUCGAAACUCUAAUCUGUUGGGAGAAUUUAGAUAUUCAACGAUAUGUUUUGAAAAAUCAUACAAACGCAGAAGAGAAAGUUUUGCACUUAACGCCAGAACAAGAAAAGGAUAAGACUCACUUCACAGAUAAGGAGAGCGGGGUAGAACUGGAACUUGUAGAAUGUCAACCAUUACUUGAAUGGCUCGCAAACAAUUACAAGAGUUUUGGUGCUACCUUGGAAAUUAUCACCGACAAAUCGCAGGAAGGCUCCCAAUUUGUCAGAGGUUUUGGUGGCAUUGGAGGAAUCCUCCGCUACAAAGUUGAUUUCCAGUCUCUGCAGGCUGAUGAGCCUCUUGAUGAUGUUGACCUCGAUGAUUACUAAUUUCAUCCGUGAAUUACUCAGAAUCAACCAGCUUGCAUAUUGGGAAAAAGGUAUCUUGCGGUACAAGGUGGACUUUCAAAGUAUGCAGCUGGAUGACAUCGAAAUCGAUAGCUUUGAUUUGGACGAUUACUAAGUCCAUAACUCAACCGAUAUUUAGUUAUUUUAAACAAAUAAAAUCAUUACAAGGCUUCAAUGAGCAAUAAUUGGGUUUUUAUUUAUUUUGAAAUGACAAUAGUAUUAACAAUAAACAAUAUUUGGAACAUUUCCGCACUUACUUGUGCUUCUUCAGCCAAAACAUAAAAAUUUAGACUCUUAAUAUACCAUGGUAAGAUAAGAAAAUGGCAAGAUCACAAGAGGCUAUUUGUAUAAGACAAAAACUUCAUCUGUCGCAAAUCUGCCGAAAAUCGAUGACGCAUUUCUUUUUACUUCCUCCUUCUCUAUGUCACUCACUUCAAAAAUUAUGUUGAUCAAUAAGUGGUCAAGUUUAAAAUCAAGUCGUGCAUAUAAAAUGUGGAAUCAUAUAUGUGGUCCAGAGAAAAUCGAUUUGAAUCGCGUGGUCAAAUAAUUUGUAGAAGAAGUCAUAAUUAUGAUGUCAAAAUAUAAAAUCUAUUGGCGGAUUGCGACAAAAUUGGACGAACCAAGUAAAAAAUAAAUAGUAAAAAAUUUAUAAUUAAUAAAGAAAAAUAAAAAUUCACAAAACAUAUAUAUUAAAAUUAGAAUAUAGCCUCUUGUGAGAUAGUUUUGUGCGAACAGUUGGAGGCAAAGUCAGUUAGUUAUUUUAGCUUUGGAAAAAGCUGGAGGGACAUGAGUGUAUGUUCUUUUUUUGCAUACUGUCCCAAGAGAGAAGCAUAGACGGGCAUGUUUCAAAAUUUGUCAUAUGAUGCAGUAUGUACGAUAUCGUCACGAAAUUCAUGUCUAAAAUUUAUCAACCAGAUCGCAAAAUCGAUACAUGAAAAAGAGAAGCACCAGCUGAUAUAUGGCGUGGCUAUAUAAUUCAUGUCUAUGAAAGAAAAGGCAAUUCGAAGACUGUGACACUUAAUUAAGCCAGCUUGAUACCUGCCUACUCUCAUAACAUUCACUACUUUGUAUUACGAUUUAUGGUCCUUAAUUAUCCACACAGGGAUUCGUUUAAACAAUUAUACUACACGCUCUACAGUGCCGAAUACAAAUGUUGUAUAAUAUAUGAUAAUCCGGUUGUAAUUUUAUAUUAAAUUGAUGUUUAUCAUCUUAUCAUAGAUUUUACGAGGAAUGAGUAUUUGAACUACAAGAGCGGCUGUAUAGCAUUAUUCUGUUCAGAUAUAAUCCUGGAAGAAGAGCUGUAAUAAACUGAUUAUUAUGAACAUAAAUUGCGUAUAUUCUACACCGAUUUGAAAAAUUCAUAUAACGAUAACGAAAAGAGUUCUGUAAAUAGAUGUCAAUUUUUAAAAACGGCACAGUUGCCUUAGACAUAAGUUGAGGUCGCGUACACGAUCCACGGAGUAAAUGAAGUAUUUCCGUCUUAUGCAGUGAUACACACUUGUAAACAUAAGGACAGAUAAUUCCUCGCAAUUCUACAUUGCUCCGUUGCUGGCUCUUGGCUCUUAGAUUUUUGUACAUUCACACAAUUGUACAUAAAAAAUGCUUCGCAAAAGUAUAUUAAAAUAACUUUUUCAUUGUUAUAGUGGUGCACCUCAAUAAAAAGGAAAAUAUUCCCCGCAAUAUUUAAAUGGCAGUUAUAUUGGAGAUAUUAUGAAAUUUAUUUUAACAAUGUUAAUUUAAUUCGCUUAUUCGUAUGAUGCCUUUGUAAUUAACGACGCUAUGUAUGUAUAAAUGUGAAAAGAAUGUAACGUGCAAUUUUGGUGAAGUAUCCUUUAUGAAAGAAUAUUGUAUAGAGAGCAAGGAGGAGCAACUUCUCAAAGAGUCUCCUGACGAAAAGUGUAUCAUUAAUGAUGUAUUUACAUUAUAUCUGCGAUAUCAUGCUGAUGUACACCUUUCACAAAGACAAAAACAGACGCAGAAGAGAGCUUCAUCAAAGUAGAACGUUCGAGAGAGAUCCAAUUUUGCGAUAUGUGCACAACGAAUUUCAAAGUGGCGCGAUGGUUCGAAUUUGUAUCUGUGUAUUAUCUCUCAAGAUACCCAGAUGUUAAUUACCGGCUUAACAUUUCUUCUCAAAUUUUUAUAUGUGAACAUCUCACUAGGAGUCUAGAUAGUUAUUUAUUUCUAUACAUUGGUGCGACUUCGUUUCUGCUUAAGCAGAAUAUCUGAUUUAAGUAUGCAAGCUAAUAAAUUAAGAACUCGAUAAAUAUCAAUUAUUGAAAGUGAGAGAGAGAGAGAGAGAAUGAGAGCAAGAAACAGAAAGAGAAUAGGAAAAGCUUUGUAAUCUUUGUCUAAAUGUAAAGGUAUACGGAAAUGUCGUCCACGCCAGUUGCUUUAAUAAUCGAAUCGAUGACGUACUUAGAUUAUGGCUUGCCCUUCUGAUCUUUGCAAGCAUAAUUGUAUAAUCUGCUAACAACAUAUUCGUCAUUGAUUAUUUUAUUCCCACGUGUUUUGUCAGUGAAAUAUGUUCUUCAAUCGAAAUUAAUUUCCUUAACAGAUUGAUUAGAUUUCAUACCUGACAGCAAUACGAGAACGUAAUCGUAAAGUUUUUUAAUCAGUCCAAUUCUAUAUCAUGGAUAUGAUCUUAUUAUAAUGCUUCACGCGUUUUCGUAUAUGUGUACCACGUUGGAUUUGCGCUAUCUUAAAGUAAAGCUUGUUUUUGAUGGAUUACAAGCAUAUAUAAUAUGGGAUUAUAGCUAAGGACCGGGAAAAAAAUGUUCGUUGGUAUUGCUGCUCAUUUCCUGUGAGAUUUAUGCUCUGUCAGGUGAUAAAAAGGAAGAUUGAAAUAAUGAUUUAAAAACAUUCCAUACACAUGUAUACGCACGUAUACAUGCAUUAAUGUGACACGAUGAUAGUAAAAAAGAUCGUUUAUCAAAAGAUUUUUUCAAAAGACAACAGAGUAUAUAACUAAUUUAUUAAUAUAAUUCCUCUUAUGUGCAUAUAUGAGAAUUGCUUAUGUAUUUAUAUAUUUCAUAUUAAUUUAAUAAUUUUUUGGUCCGCUUUUUCUGGCCCGCAAUUAACAAUUAUGUAUGUAUAUAUAAAAUAUGACAGCUAUGAUAAAUCGGUUAUGACGUAUUAAAAAAGAUAAAAUAUUUUGAAAUGACAAUAAAUUAAUAUCUCAUUUCUAAAUAAUACUCCUAAGUUUAUCGAAUAAUCAUUAUUUCUAAUCUUCCUUUUCUCACGCAUAUUUUACUCGAAGUUUUAUAUACAAGGAAGAGAGUAACGUGUCAUACACAUUGUAAUAUAAAAUGCCGAACAGAAUUGUGGACAACCAUAGGAUAUUAAACAGUAUAUGAGUGAAAAAA